rnacentral:rRNA from 1 species
UACCCGCAGCCCAAGUGGUGGUCGAUUUUUUGUGUCUAAAACGUUCGUAGCCGGUUCAUUAAAUCCUUGGGUAAAUCGGAGAGCUUAACUUCCCGACUUCCGAGGAGACUGGUGAACUUGGGACCGGGAGAGGCAAGAGGUACUUCUGGGGUAGGGGUAAAAUCCUGUAAUCCUAGAAGGACCACCGGUGGCGAAGGCGUCUUGCUAGAACGGAUCCGACGGUGAGGGACGAAGCCCUGGUCGCAAACGG